AUUGAACGCUGGCGGCAUGCUUUACACAUGCAAGUCGAACGGUAACAGGUUAAGCUGACGAGUGGCGAACGGGUGAGUAAUGCAUCGGAACGUGCCCGAACGUGGGGGAUAACGCAGCGAAAGCUGCGCUAAUACCGCAUACGAUCUGAGGAUGAAAGCGGGGGACCGUAAGGCCUCGCGCGAUCGGCGCGGCCGAUGUCAGAUUAGGUAGCUGGUGGGGUAAAGGCUCACCAAGCCGACGAUCUGUAGCUGGUCUGAGAGGACGACCAGCCACACUGGGACUGAGACACGGCCCAGACUCCUACGGGAGGCAGCAGUGGGGAAUUUUGGACAAUGGGCGAAAGCCUGAUCCAGCAAUGCCGCGUGCAGGAAGAAGGCCUUCGGGUUGUAAACUGCUUUUGUACGGAGCGAAAAGGCUCUCUCUAAUACAGGGGGCUCAUGACGGUACCGUAAGAAUAAGCACCGGCUAACUACGUGCCAGCAGCCGCGGUAA
rnacentral:rRNA from 1 species